rnacentral:rRNA from 1 species
GACGUAGGGCGCGAGCGUUGUCCGGAUUUAUUGGGCGUAAAGAGCUCGUAGGCGGCUUGUCGCGUCGGCUGUGAAAACCCGCGGCUCAACUGUGGGCGGGCAGCUGAUACGGGCAGGCUGGAGUUCGGUAGGGGAGACUGGAAUUCCUGGUGUAGCGGUGAAAUGCGCAGAUAUCAGGAGGAACACCGGUGGCGAAGGCGGGUCUCUAGGCCGAUACUGACGCUGAGGAGCGAAAGCGUGGGGAGCGAACAGG